UCGCUGUUCCCGUUAUUUGCGUUGGUAUUUUCAAUCCAAUAAUGGGAAAGGUGAAG
rnacentral:pre_miRNA from 1 species